rnacentral:rRNA from 1 species
UACAGAGGCCUCGAGCGUUGUUCGGAAUUACUGGGCGUAAAGGGAGUGUAGGUGGUGAUGUAAGUCAGAUGUGAAAUCCCCGGGCUUAACCUGGGAACUGCAUUUGUGACUGCAUGGCUAGAGUGCGGCAGAGGGGGAUGGAAUUCCGCGUGUAGCAGUGAAAUGCGUAGAUAUGCGGAGGAACACCGAUGGCGAAGGCAAUCCCCUGGGCCUGCACUGACGCUCAUGCACGAAAGCGUGGGGAGCAAACAGG